UUUGAAAUUUUUAUAUAGGCAUGGAGCAUAUCUUAUUCUAAUUAAGAUUCCAGUCUUGUGCUUGUGUAUUAUGUAGAGCUUCAUUGUGGUGUAUUCAUAUAUGUACAUAGGAACGUUAUGUCUGAUUCAUUCCACUGUCUUCCCUAUUCCUUUUUCCCCUCCCUUCCCUGCAUUCCCCUUUGUCUAACCUUUAGUUCUUCACCUCUCCCCUUUUGUUGUGUGUUAUCGUCCACAUAUCACACAGAACAUUUUACCUUUUUUUUUUUUGUUGUUGUUGGGGGGAGGUUUUUCUCUCCAUUCAUUUUUAUGUUUUUAGUUUUAAACAGGGUCUCACUAAGUUGGUAAGACUGGCCCCCAUCUGGAUUUUUCCUACCUCAGCCUAUCAAGUUGCUGGUAUUACAGAGUAUAUAAGAAGCUUAGAGAUACCUUGGUUUGUCAUAUCGGAAAAAUCAUCUGUACUGCAUGGAGAAUCCCCUGUUUUCUAUUACUAUAUAUAAUAUAUACUAAGAGGCAUAUGUAAGCUCUAAAAUGUAUUGACAGUAAUCGCUUUUUUAUAUAAUUUUUCUUUCCAUCUAAACCUAAAGUAUCAGGCUAUUUAGAAGGGAUCUGUUAAACAAAACACUUGCUUUUCCAGUACAUGUUUUCUUUCUUUUCCCAAUUUGUCCUCUCUGAUUUGGGGUCUGACUGGUGGUAGUGAAGGAUAAUAUAAGUGAUAGCUGAGUUUAUGAAGGCCUGACUUUGGGUAUGUUGUGGCAUAAAAAUCUGAAUUGUAGUUUAAGAUGGAAGUAAAGUAUAAGAGGUAGGAGAUACCAGAUUCUUAAGAAUGAGAUCAGGUCAUAAAUUCACAAGUGUAAGCUUAUUAGGACAGAAUCCUGGAAUAGUGGGAGCAUGUAUUAGGAUGGAAUUUGUUUAGAACUGACCAGAGUUUUUGGACAGCAGUAUUCAUAUGUGAACUCUGGUUCUCUGGUUAUCGCUGCAUAAUUAUUAGCCAAAGUCUUAGUGGAUUAAAGUGACCACCAUCUUUCAUUAUUUCUCCUUGUUUUAGUGUCUCAAGGUUUUGCAGUAGGCUUGCAUGGACUGUUUCUAAUAUUUUAUCAGUUUUUUCCUUAAUAUUUUGAUUUUUAAAAUUUACCAAUACAUAGCAAUGUAAUACACUAAAAAUAAAUUUAAGUAUAACAGUAUAUAAAAAGACUUUUAUUUUGUUUUCCUCUCCUAUCCUGCCACUUAUUUUAAAGCAUAUUUUCCUACUUAAUAUCUUCAAAUUGAUCUGUUGGAGUCUAAUUAACAUUACUGUUCCUGAUUGUUCAUUAGGUGUGUUUGUGGUACAAUAUUGACGGCAUCAUUUGAUUUCAGCAAUAAUGUCUGCCUAUAUAAUUAGAAUAAACAUUAAAAGUAUACUGAACCAUCUUAACAUCCUUUAAUAUCAGGCUUGAGUUUAUGUGCAGUGAUCCGUACCUGUAAUGCAGCUUGGGAGGGUGAGACAGGAGGAUCACAAAUUCAAAGCCAGCUGUCCCAACUUAGGCUCUAGGUAACUUAGUGGAACACUGUCUCAGAAUGAAAAAUAAAAAGGGCUGGAUAUAUGGCUUAGUGGUUGAGUGCCUCUGGGUUCAAUCCCUGGUACAAAUCAUCGUCAACAACAACAACAACAACAACAACAACAACAUCAUCAUCAUCAUCAUCAUCAUCAUCAUCAUCAUCAUCAUCAUCAUCUUCAGUCUUGAAUUUUGAACAGAAAUUUUUUUAUAUACUUUUGUUAGAUCCCUUUCCUUCUACUGCCCAGAAUGUCAUGGCUGCUAUUGUCCCUGUACUUUCUGUUAAAUGAUUUCUAAGUGUAAAUAUUUUCAUUCCCUACUUCCUCACUUGUGUAUGAUUUUGGGGAAUGAAAUUUUCCAGAAAAUGUGUUUCCAUGCUAAUUAAAUUGCAUUUCUUUUAAAUAUUAA